rnacentral:rRNA from 1 species
UACAGAGGUCCCAAGCGUUGUUCGGAUUCAUUGGGCGUAAAGGGUGCGUAGGUGGCGCUGUAAGUCGGGUGUGAAAUUUCGGAGCUUAACUCCGAAACUGCAUUCGAUACUGCGGUGCUUGAGGACUGGAGAGGAGACUGGAAUUCAUGGUGUAGCAGUGAAAUGCGUAGAGAUCAUGAGGAAGACCAGUGGCGAAGGCGGGUCUCUGGACAGUUCCUGACACUGAGGCACGAAGGCCAGGGAGCAAACGGG